AUGGCUAUUAGAAAUUUAGAAUGGAGACUUCCAAUUCUGGGUGUUUUUGUAGGUAUGCGGUACUACUUUCUGAUAUGUGGCUGGUUGAUGGAACCUGUAUAUUCCCAAUCCUUUGGAAUAGAGAUUCUAGUUGUGCUUAGUAAUGGAUUUCAUAUUAUACCUUGGAAGGUGACAACGGAAGAUAAGGUCUGUGAUUUGUACGUUCUGCUAAUGACCGACUUUCAGUAA
rnacentral:rRNA from 1 species